rnacentral:rRNA from 1 species
CGCUGGCGGCGUGCCUAAUACAUGCAAGUCGAACGGUCUUUCUAUGGAAGCUUGCUUCCACUGAUUAGAUAGUGGCGGACGGGUGAGUAACACGUGGGUAACCUGCCCAUAAGAGGGGGGAUAACAUCCGGAAACGGGUGCUAAUACCGCAUAGUUUUCUUGAUCGCAUGAUUGAGAAAGGAAAGACGGCCUUUGCGCUGUCGCUUAUGGAUGGACCCGCGGCGUAUUAGUUAGUUGGUGAGGUAAUGGCUCACCAAGACGAUGAUACGUAGCCGACCUGAGAGGGUGAUCGGCCACAUUGGGACUGAGACACGGCCCAAACUCCUACGGGAGGCAGCAGUAGGGAACCUUCCGCAAUGGACGAAAGUCUGACGGAGCAACGCCGCGUGAGUGAAGAAGGUUUUUCCGGAUCGUAAAACUCUGUUGUCAGAGAAGAACAAGUCGGAGAGUAACUGCUCCGGCCUUGACGGUAUCUGACCAGAAAGCCACGGCUAACUACGUGCCAGCAGCAGC